rnacentral:tRNA from 1 species
GCCUUCGUGGUGCAACGGUAGCACACUCGGCGAGUAUUCGAGAGGUCAGGUUCGAGUCCCGGCAAGGGCA